UCAAGCUAUAAAGAGCGCAAGGGGAAUGCCUUGGCAUCAGGAGCCGAUGAAGGACGUGAUAAGCUGCGAAAAGCUUCGGGGAGCUGCAAAUGAGCAUUGAUCCGGAGAUAUCCGAAUGGGGCAACCCACUGGAGCAAACCUCCAGUAACGUGCUGUGAAUCAAAUAGCAGUACGUGGGGAACCGCCUGAACUGAAACAUCUAAGUAGGGCGAGGAAAAGACAUCAACAGAGAUUCCGCUAGUAGUGGCGAGCGAACGCGGAGGAGGCCAAACCAAAGGUAGCAAUAUCUUUGGGGUUGUGGACGGACAUCAUGAUCAGAGGUAACUAGACGAACGGCAUGGGAAGGCCGGCGAAACAGUGUGAGAGCCACGUAGUCGAAAGUGAAGACUGACAGUCCGUAUCCAGAGUACCGCAGGACACGAGGAACCCUGUGGGAAGCCGGGGGGACCACCCUCCAAGCCUAAAUACUACCUGAUGACCGAUAGAGGAGCAGUACCGUGAGGGAAAGGUGAAAAGAACCCCGGGAGGGGAGUGAAAUAGUACCUGAAACCUUGUGCUUACAAGCAGUCACAGCCCGUUAACGGGUGGUGGCGUACUUUUUGUAGAACGGUCCGGCGAGUUAUAGUCACUAGCGAGCUUAAGGUAUUCAGUACCGAAGGCGUAGGGAAACCAAGUCUUAAUAGGGCGUAUGAAGUUAGUGGCCAUAGACCCGAAACCAUGUGACCUAGCCAUGAGCAGGAUGAAGUGGAGGUAAAGCUCCAUGGAGGUCCGAACGCACGUUCGUUGCAAUGACCGGCGAUGACUUGUGGCUAGCGGUGAAAUUCCAAUCGAACUUGGAGAUAGCUGGUUCUCCCCGAAAUAGCUUUAGGGCUAGCGUUGGAAAUGAGUUUAGCGGAGGUAAAGCACUGAAUGAGCUAGGGGGCGCGAGCUUACUGAACUCUAUCAAACUAAGAAUGCCGCAUAAAUGCUUUCCAGCAGUCAGACUGCGAGUAAUAAAAUCCGUGGUCAAAAGGGUAACAGCCCAGACCCACAGCUAAGGUCCCCAAUACAUGCUAAGUGGAAAACGAUGUGAGAUUGCAUAAACAACCAGGAUGUUGGCUUAGAGGCAGCCACUCGUUCAAAGAGUGCGUAAUAGCUCACUGGUCGAGUGAUCAUGCGCGGAAAAUUUAACGGGGCUAAGCAUGUAACCGAAGCUUGGGAUUGCGCUUUGCGCAGUGGUAGGGGAGCGUCGUGUACGGGGUGAAGUACGAUCGAGAGGACGUGUGGACUGUACACGAGUGAGAAUGCCGGAAUGAGUAGCGAGAAUUAUGUGGGAAUCAUAAUGGCCGAAAAUCUAAGGUUUCUUGGGGAAGGUUCGUCCGCCCAAGGUAAGCCGGGAGCUAAGGCGAGGCCGAAAGGCGUAGUCGAUGCACAUACGGUUGAAAUUCCGUAGCCACCUUAUCGUUUAAAGCUGACACAUAGAGAUAGCCGAUCCCGGGCGUUGGUUGACCCGGGCGAAAGGGACCGAACUUCAGUAGGGAAGUCGGCGAUGCUCUGUGGCGAGAAAAGGCGAAGAUAGGGUGCCCGUACCGCAAACCGACACAGGUAGAUGAGGAGAGAAUCCUAAGGCCAACGGGAGAAGGGUUGUUAAGGAACUCGGCAAAAUGGUCCCGUAACUUCGGGAGAAGGGACACCCUCGAAAGAGGGUCGCAGUGAAAAGGCCCAAGCGACUGUUUACCAAAAACACAGGUCUCUGCUAAAUCGAAAGAUGACGUAUAGGGGCUGACGCCUGCCCGGUGCUGGAAGGUUAAGAGGAGGACUUAGCGCAAGCGAAGGUUCGAAUUUAAGCCCCAGUAAACGGCGGCCGUAACUAUAACGGUCCUAAGGUAGCGAAAUUCCUUGUCAGGUAAGUUCUGACCCGCACGAAUGGCGUAACGAUUUGGGCACUGUCUCAACAGCCCACCCGGCGAAAUUGUAGUACCGGUGAAGAUGCCGGUUACCCGCAACUAGACGGAAAGACCCCAUGGAGCUUUACUGCAGCUUAAUACUGAGAUUCGGUAAUUCAUGUACAGGAUAGGUGGGAGACUUAGAAACCGGGGCGUCAGCUUCGGCGGAGUCACCCUUGGGAUACCACCCUUGGAUUGCUGGGUUUCUAACCUGCGGCCAUGAAUCUGGUCGGGGGACACUGUUAGGCGGGCAGUUUGACUGGGGCGGUCGCCUCCUAAAAUGUAGCGGAGGCGCUCAAAGCUUGGCUCAGCAUGGAUGGAAAUCAUGCAAUGAGUGUAAACGUAUAAGCCAAGUUGACUGCGAGACCGACGGGUCGAGCAGGUACGAAAGUAGGAGUUAGUGAUCCGGUGGUAUGUGAGUGGAAAUGCCAUCGCUCAACGGAUAAAAGCUACCCUGGGGAUAACAGGCUGAUCUCCCCCAAGCGUCCACAGCGACGGGGAGGUUUGGCACCUCGAUGUCGGCUCGUCGCAUCCUGGGGCUGUAUUCGGUCCCAAGGGUUUGGCUGUUCGCCAAUUAAAGCGGCACGCGAGCUGGGUUCAGAACGUCGUGAGACAGUUCGGUCCCUAUCUGUUGCGGGCGUAAGAGAUUUGAAGGGAGCUGUCCUUAGUACGAGAGGACCGGGAUGGACGUACCUCUGGUGCACCAGUUGUCCUGCCAAGGGCAUAGCUGGGUAGCUAUGUACGGACGAGAUAAACGCUGAAAGCAUCUAAGCGUGAAACUCCCCCUAAGAUGAGAUCUCUCAUCCUUUAUGGAGUAAGGGCCCAGAAAGACGAUCUGGUUGAUAGGCCGGAGGUGGAAGUGCAGCAAUGUAUGGAGCUGACCGGUACUAAUAGCCCGAGGGCUUGACCUA
rnacentral:rRNA from 1 species